rfam:Anopheles funestus strain FTMOZ unplaced genomic scaffold supercont1.7, whole genome shotgun sequence.
AAGACUGUGCUUCAUAGGAUCAUUUCUAUAGGCAUGUCUUCAAUUCUAAUCUUCCGAGAUUAGAGUUUAUUCCGCCCACGAUGAUGAAAAGGAGUGGAUGUCCUGGAACGUGAAACUGCCGGAUCUCGGCUGCGUCUCUGACGUGUCGAUCUGUGCUUGAUGAUCGUAUCUAUCUCGCAAGGACAGACACAGUCUGAGUGGU